ACGCUGGCGGCGUGCCUAAUACAUGCAAGUCGAACGGUCUUUCUAUGGAAGCUUGCUUCCACUGAGAAGAUAGUGGCGAACGGGUGAGUAACACGUGGGUAACCUGCCCAUAAGAGGGGGAUAACAUCCGGAAACGGGUGCUAAUACCGCAUAGUUUUUCUUGAUCGCAUGAUUGAGAAAGGAAAGACGGCCUUUGUGCUGUCGCUUAUGGAUGGACCCGCGGCGUAUUAGUUAGUUGGUGAGGUAACGGCUCACCAAGACGAUGAUACGUAGCCGACCUGAGAGGGUGAUCGGCCACAUUGGGACUGAGACACGGCCCAAACUCCUACGGGAGGCAGCAGUAGGGAAUCUUCCGCAAUGGACGAAAGUCUGACGGAGCAACGCCGCGUGAGUGAAGAAAGGUUUUCGGAUCGUAAAACUCUGUUGUCAGAGAAGAACAAGUUGGAGAGUAACUGCUCCAGCCUUGACGGUAUCUGACCAGAAAGCCACGGCUAACUACGUGCCAGCCGCAGC
rnacentral:rRNA from 1 species